AAGUAGAACGCUGAGAACUGGUGCUUGCACCGGUUCAAGGAGUUGCGAACGGGUGAGUAACGCGUAGGUAACCUACCUCAUAGCGGGGGAUAACUAUUGGAAACGAUAGCUAAUACCGCAUAAGAGAGACUAACGCAUGUUAGUAAUUUAAAAGGGGCAAUUGCUCCACUAUGAGAUGGACCUGCGCUUGUAUUAGCUAGUUGGUGAGGUAAAGGCUCGACCAAGCGACGAUACAUAGCCGACCUGAGAGGGUGAUCGGCCACACUGGGACUGAGACACGGCCCAGACUCCUACGGGAGGCAGCAGUAGGGAAUCUUCGGCAAUGGGGGCAACCCUGACCGAGCAACGCCGCGUGAGUGAAGAAGGUUUUCGGAUCGUAAAGCUCUGUUGUUAGAGAAGAAUGAUGGUGGGAGUGGAAAAUCCACCAAGUGACGGUAACUAACCAGAAAGGGACGGCUAACUACGUGCCAGCAGCCGCGGUAAUACGUAGGUCCCGAGCGUUGUCCGGAUUUAUUGGGCGUAAAGCGAGCGCAGGCGGUUUUUUAAGUCUGAAGUUAAAGGCAUUGGCUCAACCAAUGUACGCUUUGGAAACUGGAGAACUUGAGUGCAGAAGGGGAGAGUGGAAUUCCAUGUGUAGCGGUGAAAUGCGUAGAUAUAUGGAGGAACACCGGUGGCGAAAGCGGCUCUCUGGUCUGUAACUGAC
rnacentral:rRNA from 1 species